AGCAUCGCAGAGGUUGCGUGGUCGUGGGAGAGAGUAUUUUGGAGGUUUUUUUUUUCGCAGCUUUGGACCAGGGGUUUGCUGGUUGGAUGCCUAAGCAGCAGGUUUUCGAACCUAAUUAAACUUAUUUAGUGACCUUGGGGACAAGUGAGGAAGGUGCUAUAACCUGAGGAAAGCAAGAAUUUCAGCAGGCUUGCGACCGGGUCUUGGAGUGCUUUUC